AUACAGAGGUGGCAAGCGUUGUUCGGAAUUACUGGGCGUAAAGGGCGCGUAGGCGGCCAUCUAAGUCAGACGUGAAAUCCCCCGGCUUAACCUGGGAACUGCGUCUGAUACUGGACGGCUUGAGUAUGGGAGAGGGAUGUAGAAUUCCAGGUGUAGCGGUGAAAUGCGUAGAUAUCUGGAGGAAUACCGGUGGCGAAGGCGGCAUCCUGGACCAUUACUGACGCUGAUGCGCGAAAGCUAGGGGAGCAAACGG
rnacentral:rRNA from 1 species